UGCCAUCAGAAAAUAGGAAAUGAAAGGGAAAAAAAAACAAAUUAAUAUGUUCGGCUAUCGCAUAGAAUUAUGAUAUAAACAUCACAAUAUCUUAAAGCUUUUAGAGAGAAAUGAUCAAACAUGAUCGUGUAGUUGCAGGUAAAAUGAGCACAUAACGUAACCAAAGGGGAAAACAAAACUCGUCGUUUGUGGUUUCCAAGUCCAAAACAACAUGCUUACAAGUCUCUGUACGUUUUUUGAGUGUUAACAAUGGAAUUGAGCUGAUUUUUUGAAAUAAAGGAAAUGAAAACAAGAAUCACAGCAGAAAAGCGAGAAUACCAGAUCAACGGACUCGUUUUUGA
rnacentral:misc_RNA from 1 species